UACGUAGGGAGCAAGCGUUGUCCGGAAUUACUGGGCGUAAAGGGCGCGUAGGUGGGCGCUUAAGUCAGGUGUGAAAACUCCGGGCUCAACCUGGAGACUGCACUUGAAACUGUAUUUCUUGAGUGCUGGAGAGGCAAUCGGAAUUCCGUGUGUAGCGGUGAAAUGCGUAGAUAUACGGAGGAACACCAGUGGCGAAGGCGGAUUGCUGGACAGUAACUGACGCUGAGGCUCGAAAGCAUGGGUAGCGAACAGG
rnacentral:rRNA from 1 species